rnacentral:tRNA from 1 species
AAAAAGGUAAACUAAAUAAGCUAAUGGGUUCAUACCCCAUUCAUAGAAGUACAACCUUCUCCUUUUUA